UACGGGGGGGGCAAGCGUUGUUCGGAAUUACGUGGACGUAAAGGGCUCGUAGGUGGCCAACUAAGUCAGACGUGAAAUCCCUCGGCUUAACCGGGGAACUGCGUCUGAUACUGGAUGGCUUGAGUUUGGGAGAGGGACGCGGAAUUCCAGGUGUAGCGGUGAAAUGCGUAGAUAUCUGGAGGAACACCGGUGGCGAAGGCGGCGUCCUGGACCAACACUGG
rnacentral:rRNA from 1 species